CAUGUCUUUUUGAUUAUAAUAUAAAGUCUAAUCUGCCCACUGAAAUUUUUGAAGGGCCGCAGUAAUUUGACUGUGCAAAGGUAGCAUAAUCAUUUGUCUUUUAAAUGAAGGCUUGUAUGAAUGAUUGGACGAGGUAUAAACUGUCUCAUUAUUAAAAUUAUAAAAAUUUAACUUUUUAGUUAAAAGGCUAAAAUGGUUUUGAAGGACGAGAAGACCCUAUAGAGCUUUAUAUUAAUUAGUAUUAACAAUUAUAGGAAUAUAAGUUUGUUAAUAUUUAAUAUAGUAUUUUGUUGGGGUGACAAGAAAAUUAAAUAAACUUUUUCUAAUUAUUGAACAUAGAUUAGUGAAUUUAUGAUCCAUUAGUAUUGAUUAUAAGACUAAGUUACCUUAGGGAUAACAGCGUAAUUUUGUUGGAGAGUUC
rnacentral:rRNA from 1 species